GAUGAAGAACGCAGCGAAAUGCGAUAAGUAAUGUGAAUUGCAGAAUUCAGUGAAUCAUCGAAUCUUUGAACGCACAUUGCGCCCGCCAGUAUUCUGGCGGGCAUGCCUGUUCGAGCGUCAUUACAACCCUCAGGCCCCCGGGCCUGGCGUUGGGGAUCGGCGGAAGCCCCCUGCGGGCACAACGCCGUCCCCCAAAUACAGUGGCGGUCCCGCCGCAGCUUCCAUUCCGUAGUAGCUAACACCUCGCAACUGGAGAGCGGCGCGGCCACGCCGUAAAACACCCAACUUCUGAAUGUUGACCUCGAAUCAGGUAGGAAUACCCGCUGAACUUAAGCAUAUCAAUAAGCGGAGGA
rnacentral:misc_RNA from 1 species